rnacentral:rRNA from 1 species
AGAGUUUGAUCCUGGCUCAGAUUGAACGCUGGCGGCAGGCCUAACACAUGCAAGUCGAACGGUAACAGGAAGCAGCUUGCUGCUUUGCUGACGAGUGGCGGACGGGUGAGUAACACGUGGGCAACCUGCCCAACAGAGGGGGAUAACACUUGGAAACAGGUGCUAAUACCGCAUAGGUCAUCAUUCCACAUGGAAAGAUGACAAAAGACGCUACGGUGUCGCUGAUGGAUGGACCCGCGGUGCAUUAGCUAGUUGGUGAGGUAACGGCUCACCAAGGCCACGAUGCAUAGCCGACCUGAGAGGGUGAUCGGCCACACUGGGACUGAGACACGGCCCAGACUCCUACGGGAGGCAGCAGUAGGGAAUCUUCGGCAAUGGACGAAAGUCUGACCGAGCAACGCCGCGUGAGUGAAGAAGGUUUUCGGAUCGUAAAACUCUGUUGUUAGAGAAGAACAAGGACGUUAGUAACUGAACGUCCCCUGACGGUAUCUAACCAGAAAGCCACGGCUAACUACGUGCCAGCAGCCGCGGUAAUAC